CCUACGGGAGGCAGCAGUGAGGAAUAUUGGUCAAUGGGCGCGAGCCUGAACCAGCCAAGUAGCGUGAAGGAUGACUGCCCUACGGGUUGUAAACUUCUUUUAUAAAGGAAUAAAGUGAGGCACGUGUGCCUUUUUGUAUUUACUUUAUGAAUAAGGAUCGGCUAACUCCGUUCCGGCGGCCGCGGUAAUACGGAGGAGCCGAGCGUUAUCCGGAUUUAUUGGGUUUAAAGGGAGCGUAGAUGGGUUGUUAAGUCCGUUGUGAAAGUUUGCGGCUCAACCGUAAAAUUGCAAUUGAUACUGGCAGCCUUGAGUACAGUAGAGGUAGGCGGAAUUCGUGGUGUAGCGGUGAAAUGCUUAGAUAUCACGAAGAACCCCGAUUGCGAAGGCAGCCUACUAAACUGCCACUGACAUUGAUGCUCGAAAGUGUGGGUAUCAAACAGGAUUAGAUACCCUGGUAGUC
rnacentral:rRNA from 1 species